rfam:Ciona savignyi cont_5206, whole genome shotgun sequence.
AGCAAAUGAUGUUCUCACGAUGGUCUUCAUAGCAAAAUGUGCAUUGAUGAUACCAAAUACGUUUACUGAUGCUUGUUU